AUUGAACGCUGGCGGCAUGCCUAACACAUGCAAGUCGAGCGGAUGAAGGGAGCUUGCUCCUGGAUUCAGCGGCGGACGGGUGAGUAAUGCCUAGGAAUCUGCCUGGUAGUGGGGGAUAACGUCCGGAAACGGGCGCUAAUACCGCAUACGUCCUGAGGGAGAAAGUGGGGGAUCUUCGGACCUCACGCUAUCAGAUGAGCCUAGGUCGGAUUAGCUAGUUGGUGGGGUAAAGGCCUACCAAGGCGACGAUCCGUAACUGGUCUGAGAGGAUGAUCAGUCACACUGGAACUGAGACACGGUCCAGACUCCUACGGGAGGCAGCAGUGGGGAAUAUUGGACAAUGGGCGAAAGCCUGAUCCAGCCAUGCCGCGUGUGUGAAGAAGGUCUUCGGAUUGUAAAGCCCUUUAAGUUGGGAGGAAGGGCAGUAAGUUAAUACCUUGAUGUUUUGACGUUACCAACAGAAUAAGCACCGGCUAACUUCGUG
rnacentral:rRNA from 1 species